CGAUGAACCACUUCGGUGGGGAUUAGUGGCGAACGGGUGAGUAACACGUGGGCAAUCUGCCCUGCACUCUGGGACAAGCCCUGGAAACGGGGUCUAAUACCGGAUACGAGUCUCCAAGGCAUCUUGGAGACUGUAAAGCUCCGGCGGUGCAGGAUGAGCCCGCGGCCUAUCAGCUUGUUGGUGAGGUAAUGGCUCACCAAGGCGACGACGGGUAGCCGGCCUGAGAGGGCGACCGGCCACACUGGGACUGAGACACGGCCCAGACUCCUACGGGAGGCAGCAGUGGGGAAUAUUGCACAAUGGGCGAAAGCCUGAUGCAGCGACGCCGCGUGAGGGAUGACGGCCUUCGGGUUGUAAACCUCUUUCAGCAGGGAAGAAGCGAAAGUGACGGUACCUGCAGAAGAAGCGCCGGCUAACUACGUGCCAGCAGCCGCGGUAAUACGUAGGGCGCGAGCGUUGUCCGGAAUUAUUGGGCGUAAAGAGCUCGUAGGCGGCUUGUCACGUCGGUUGUGAAAGCCCGGGGCUUAACCCCGGGUCUGCAGUCGAUACGGGCAGGCUAGAGUUCGGUAGGGGAGAUCGGAAUUCCUGGUGUAGCGGUGAAAUGCGCAGAUAUCAGGAGGAACACCGGUGGCGAAGGCGGAUCUCUGGGCCGAUACUGACGCUGAGGAGCGAAAGCGUGGGGAGCGAACAGGAUUAGAUACCCUGGUAGUCCACGCCGUAAACGGUGGGCACUAGGUGUGGGCAACAUUCCACGUUGUCCGUGCCGCAGCUAACGCAUUAAGUGCCCCGCC
rnacentral:rRNA from 1 species